AUUGAACGCUGGCGGCAGGCCUAACACAUGCAAGUCGAGCGGAUGAAGGGAGCUUGCUCCUGGAUUCAGCGGCGGACGGGUGAGUAAUGCCUAGGAAUCUGCCUGGUAGUGGGGGAUAACGUCCGGAAACGGGCGCUAAUACCGCAUACGUCCUGAGGGAGAAAGUGGGGGAUCUUCGGACCUCACGCUAUCAGAUGAGCCUAGGUCGGAUUAGCUAGUUGGUGGGGUAAAGGCCUACCAAGGCGACGAUCCGUAACUGGUCUGAGAGGAUGAUCAGUCAAACUGGAAAGUAGAACCGGUCCAGACCCCUAGGGGAGGCAGCAGGGGGGAAUUUUGGACAAUGGGCGAAAGCCUGACCCAGCCAGGCCGGGGGUGUGAAGAAGGUCUUCGGAUUGUAAAGCAUUUUAAGUUGGGGGGAAGGGCAGUAAGUUAAUACCUUGCUGUUUUGGCUUUACCAACAGAAAAAGCACCGGCUAACUUCGU
rnacentral:rRNA from 1 species